UUAUGCCAGUGGUCCUGACUGGAACAGCAUGCCAUGUGCAGAAGACAGCAUUUCAAAGCACUCCUCUCCAUGUUCCUAAUAUCAAAGUCUGUCCACUCUUUCGUUCAUAAUGUUCCUCAGGUUUGGAGAAGCAAUCUUGAUGUCCUCUUUAGGGCUGAGAGCUCAAGUCACUUGCUUUCAGCACAUCAACCAGAGUAUCAGUUGUCUGAACAUGGUCAUGGCAUGAUGUAAAGUGAAUACAUAAAAAAAUUAAGUUAAAAAACAACAAACAUGGAAUCACGUGCGAGGAGAUUUCUGAGUGUUCGUGAGAAAACUCUAAGAAACGAAGACAAAAGUCUGGUGACCUGAGUUUCUUCAGAAACAAGGAAUUGUUCUUGGAUUAUGCUUUUGUGCCCCUCUCAGGUGUAGCACAAAAGAAUGAACUAUGAGGUAUUGAAAUCACUUCCUAUUACUGAAAUGGGAAUAAAUUUGUACCUUGACAUCUAAUACUUUGCUUUUUAUGAAACUGGAUGUAUCAGAGAGUCUCUUGAGUAUGAUUACCUAUUUUCUCUCUAGUCCAAAUAUUGCUCCCAGUAGUCUCUGUAGUGCUGGAUUGCUGGGUGUGAGUUCUUUCAGAUCGGUUUACAUGGUGCAAGAUAUCCAGCUAUCUCAAGUUUCUGAUUCCACAUCCCCGCACCUUGAUGGACUCUGACUGUGAGUCAAAAUAAACCCUUCUUUCCUUAAGUUGAUUUUGUUAUGCAUUUUGACACAGCAAAAGACACAAACCCAACACAAAAUAUUUCCUCUCAAAUAGGCAAUAUAUUUGUACUGAGAUGCAUUAUUUUCUGAAAACAACAAAGAGCAAAACAGAACACACAAC